UACGUAGGGUGCAAGCGUUUGUCCGGAAUUAUUGGGCGUAAAGAGCUCGUAGGCGGUUUGUCGCGUCGAAUGUGAAAACCCUGGGCUCAACCCCGGGCCUGCAGUGGGUACGGGCAGACUAGAGUGUGGUAGGGGAGAUCGGAAUUCCUGGUGUAGCGGUGGAAUGCGCAGGAUAUCAGGAGGAACACCGAUGGCGAAGGCAGGUCUCUGGGCCACUACUGACGCUGAGAAGCGAAAGCAUGGGGAGCGAACCGG
rnacentral:rRNA from 1 species